GACGAACGCUGGCGGCGUGCUUUAGGCAUGCAAGUCGAACGCGAAAGCCCCUUCGGGGGUGAGUAGAGUGGCGAACGGGUGAGUAACACGUGGGUAACCUGCCCCUCGCAGGGGGAUAACCGGGGGAAACCCCGGCUAAUACCCCGUACGCUUGCUGGGGCGCAUGCUCCGGCAAGGAAAGGUAGCUUCGGCCAUCCGGCGAGGGAGGGGCCCGCGGCCCAUUAGCUAGUUGGUGGGGUAACGGCCCACCAAGGCGACGAUGGGUAGCUGGCCUGAGAGGGUGGUCAGCCACACGGGGACUGAGACACGGCCCAGACUACUACGGGAGACAGCAGCCAGGAAUGUUGCGCAAUGGGCGAAGGGCGGACGCAGCAAGGCGGCGUGGGCGAUGAAGGCCUUGGGGUCGUAAAGCCCUGUUGUCGGGGACGAAGGGCGAAGGGUUAAUAGCCCCUAGCCGGACGGUACCGGACGAGGAAGCCCCGGCUAACUACGG
rnacentral:rRNA from 1 species